AGAAAACUCGGUAUAAGGGAAAUGCAAAGGGAAACGUUUUCCGCCGGCAGACCGGCUGAACGCUCGGUCGGUCACUCGCGAGCCGCAGGAUGGAUUGUAAUCGUACGAUACACAACGCGCCGCUCUACCCAGGAAAUAUCUCGCCCAACUAGUACUAUCCUUAUCCGUUUCCUUGGGCGUUCCUUCCCCACCACUCACUCCCAAUCUCUCACAGAGCCAUGGCUGCCACAAAUCUAUUGCGUUACUUCCACCGGCCUCCUCCUCUACCCAGCUCCUCGCAGCUGACCCACCGGCAAAGCUCGCUGCAGCGUGCUUCCGUUGGGGCCUCCUCCUCUACCCAGCUCCUCCUUUGCUGACCCACCGGCAAGGCUGGAUGCGGGGCGCUGCCGGUGCUUGGUGUUGGUCGUUUAGGUGGUGCACGGUAGGAGCGGGGAGACUAUGUGCUGCGCGCGGCCGGGACGGCGCUGCCGCAUGCCUGCAGAAUCGCGAGCGACGGGGAGCGCUAAGAUAGGCUCGACGAAGAUUAGCUGCGGGCGGGGGUGGCCGGCAAGCACGGGCGGCGCGGGGGUGGCCGGCAAGCAUGGGCGCGAGCGCGGGGGUGGCCGGCGAACACGGGCACGAGCACGGACGGCGCGAGUGUGGCCGGCGAGCAUGGGCGCGAGCACGGACGGCGCGAGGGUGGGCGAGCACAGGCGCGGAUGCAGACGGCGCGAGGAUGGCCAGGGAGCACGGGUCCGACCGUGGGCGGCGCAGGGUGGACGGCAAGCAUGGAUUGCGCGAGACAGGCGGCGAGCAUGGAGAUCUUCCUUUUUUCUUUUUUCUUCACGCGUGUGUGAAAGGGAGAAGUCGACUCAAUCGCGCUAUCCAGACCGUUUAUUUGUACGGGAUCCAACGCCUGGCAGCGGACCGGCCGAAACUUCGGCCGGUGCGCCGGCGCCUAGCAGCAUGCAUACAUCGUAUUCGACUAAAGAGGCGGCGUGGUGCAUUAUACCGUUCGCGAGCUGAUCCUAGCAAAUGAGGUGAUCGAGUGUGUUGCAGUUUGUCAACUACGUGGCCUGAUGCACAUUGAUCGUUCAAUUUAACACAAAUUGAAUACAGUUAGGAGAUACAUCACUGAUCUCCAACGAAUGGUUGGUCCAGAUUUACACCUUGCUUGUCA